UCCAGCUGGUGCUUGCACCGGCGAAGAUCUAGUGGCGAACGGGUGAGUAGCACGUGAGCAAUCUGCCCCAAAGACUGGGAUAACACCGGGUAAACCGGUGCUAAUACCGGAUACCCCCAUCUGAUCGCAUGGUUCGGAUGAGGAAAUGGAUUCCGCUUUGGGAGGAGCUCGCGGCCUAUCAGCUUGUUGGUGGGGUAAUGGCCUACCAAGGCUUCGACGGGUAGCUGGUCUGAGAGGACGAUCAGCCACACUGGGACUGAGACACGGCCCAGACUCCUACGGGAGGCAGCAGUGGGGAAUCUUGCGCAAUGGGCGAAAGCCUGACGCAGCAACGCCGCGUGAGGGACGAAUGCUUUCUGAGUUGUAAACCUCUUUCAGCAGGGACGAUAAUGACGGUACCUGCAGAAGAAGCACCGGCCAACUACGUGCCAGCAGCCGCGGUGAUACGUAGGGUGCAAGCGUUGUCCGGAUUUAUUGGGCGUAAAGAGCUCGUAGGCGGUUUGAUAAGUCGGGUGUGAAACCUCCAGGCUCAACCUGGAGACGCCACUCGAUACUGUCAUGACUAGAGUUUGGUAGGGGACCACGGAAUUCCUGGUGUAGCGGUGGAAUGCGCAGAUAUCAGGAGGAACACCAGUAGCGAAGGCGGUGGUCUGGGCCAAUACUGACGCUGAGGAGCGAAAGCGUGGGGAGCGAACAGGAUUAGAUACCCUGGUAGUCCACGCCGUAAACGGUGGGCACUAGGUGUGGGGACUAUUC
rnacentral:rRNA from 1 species